rnacentral:rRNA from 1 species
CCUACGGGUGGCAGCAGUGAGGAAUAUUGGGCAAUGGGCGCGAGCCUGAACCAGCCACGUAGCGUGAAGGAUGACUGCCCUACGGGUUGUAAACUUCUUUUAUAAAGGAAUAAAGUUAGGCACGUGUGCCGUUUUGUAUGUACUGUAUGAAUAAGGAUAGGCGAAAUCCGUGCCAGCAACCGCGGGAAUACGGAUGAGCCGAGCGUUAUCCGGAUUUGCUGGGUGUAAAGGGAACGCAGGCGGCACGGCAAGCCUUAUGUGAAAGCCCGCGGCCGAAACGCGGGAUUGCAUUGGUAACUAGCGGGCUGGAGUGCAGGAGAGGUAGGCGGAAUUCCAAGUGUAGCGGUGAAAUGCGUAGAUAUCAGGAGGAACACCAGUGGCGAAGGCGGCUUACUGGACGGUGACUGACGCUGAGGCUCGAAAGCGUGGGGAGCAAACAGGAUUAGAUACCCCAGUAGUC